GUGCACCUACUAAGGAUUAAGGAGAGGAAAGAACAUGUAUUAAUUGAGCCCAAAUAUUUACCAGAAAAUAUACUGAAAGAAAAAAUGAAAUUUUGCAGUAGCAUGAGAAAUAAAUCACAGGAUCUAAACACCUCCUCGUACUUGCCUGACAGCUAAGUCUAGGGCCUCUGGACAAAGGAGGUGCUUGGAGAGUGAUCUAAGGGCCCGAGGCUGUGAGCCACUGCGCAGUCCGGGCAGCUGGCCCUUGUUCUGGUUCUGCAUCUCAAGUUCAGGGAAGACCGUGGACCAGGCUGCGUUAGCGAGGAAAGAAAUUCAGUGUCCAGAUGUUUCAGAAUCCAGAUGGCCUAUGAAUCCUCUAUCACCCAGAAAGGAAGAAAAUGUGCAUGAAAGUGGAACAUUGAAAAGAAAAAAAAAUAAUUUAGCACUGGCGAUGUAACGGCAACUUAUACAGAACUCAAGGAAAAGCUUUCUUUCCCCAAAGCAGCAACUUAAGGAAACACAGAGGCUCUAUCAGCAAGCCAGAUUUUCAGCCUUGCCUCUUCUUUCCAUCACCAUUAAGAAAAAAGAGGCUUGCAGAGAUCCACACUGUUUAAAGGGCAGACAGCAUGGAAGAACUAUCAUGUACAAUUUAAAGUAGCAGCUAAAAUUGGAAUGGUCACAAGAAAGCCUGUUUCUUUGCAAUUAAAUUGACAAGCUGUCUCUGAUUACCCGAGGGAACUUGGCAGCUGAGUGAUAAAAAGACUGCAGAGUGUUGAAAGGGCUAACUCAACUUACUAGAUGGACAAAGACCACAUCUGCUUAAUACACUGACCUGGGGGGGCCGUGGAAGGUACUUGGCUAAGUUAGCCGAGGAGGGACACUACUGAUGCGAUACCUUUUCCUCUCUAAGGCCCUCUGCUCGAAAGGUUUUAGAAAUUACCCACAAAUAUUUGGAAGCAUGCCCUGGAGUAUAGUUUACUACAAUACCUGGUGUUAUUUGGCACGAACCUGCCACUACGAAUCACUAGAAGUAUAGAAGUUUAGGAAGAAAUGAAAAAAACCCCAAACCUUUCCAUUAAAUGUUGAUGCAAUUUGUAUACACUUGAUAUAAAAACUGGGUAACCAAUAGAAGAUUUAUAGUGACGUCAAUGAAAGUGUUGAAAGGACAUGGAUGAUUUGAUGCAAAAUAUUAGACAAGAAUUACAUGGGGUUUUCAUUGUUGGGGGUCCCUUGGGUUGAGCAAAGCUGAAACUUCGGUUAUAAAGGAAAAAAACAAUAACCAGAUUUUGGGUGGUAGCAACUUGUGAAGACUAACCCACCCACUUGAGCAACAUCUUAAUUUUAGUGCAUUCCUUAAAAGGGCAAAUGUACAUAAAAAUGUGAGGGUUUCUUCUGACACAGUUCACAGCUAUUGGUAACAUCCUACGCUAAGUGAAUGAAUGACGUCUAUGUCUGCUGCCUAUCUGUUCUUUCCGAAGGCUGCGGGCAGGGUCAUUCAGCAAACGUGGCAAAUGAUUUGUGACUAUUUCCAAAGUAGGAUGCCCUGAGCAGGAUUUCUGGAGCAGAAGCGCAUUGUAUGCUACCUUGGCGUUCACUUCAAAACCAGAGCUUCUUCUCAGUUAGUUGACCAGUGUUGGCUGGUCUUUGAGAUUGUGUGGUACUUCAACAAAAUUAUUCAAAGCUCAAAGUCAUUCAAAUGCUCAAUGACUUCAACAUGAGACAAAGAUUCCUCAAUGGUUCAUUUGGAUUAAUGAAACCAUACCUUACAUUAGUAUAGCACAUUACAUUGACGGUAAUCUUUUUGCAUCCAAAGUCACCUUUUUUUCUUCCCCAUAACAACCCUGCAGAGUAGAUUUUGUUGCCCCCAUUUUAAAGAUGAAGGAAGGUAAGCCCAUUAAGGUUACGUGAACAACUUGCCUGAGGUCACGUAGUAACGGGCGGAGCAGAGCCUUUUUGCAAUGCAAGCAAAGGAAGACAGGGAGCAGGGUCUGACAUGGAGCAGAGCCCGCGAUGUUUAAAGAAAGUCCUUCAUUUGCAAAACCUAAGUCAACACAUUUGUGUAAAUUGAACGUUCAAACUUCCCUUUUGGGAUAACUGGAUGAGACGAUACACGUCUGCAGAUGCCUUCGGCCAGACUCCUAAGAAUCUGAAUCUAAUUAUUGAGGAAAAAAAUACUUGUACUUUCCCUCCCAUCGUGUAGCAGGUUAGGCACUCAUGUGCUCAUUACUUGCUUUUUCUAAGAAAAUGUGCACAUGGUAAGGGGGCUGCUAUGACAUUGCUUUUUCCAAACGUUCCCACUGCUACCAGCUAGUACAAUGCCUGGUAGAAAGGCAGGGAGGGAUAAAUGCUUUUUACACAAAUUAUGAUUUCUGACAGGUAGCAAUCAAAUCUUGCUCCAAAAUAACAGUUUUCGAUUCAUCCAACUCUUGAUAAUCCACAGAAAUAGGGACUAGGAAUAGCCUGGAUAAUUGAAAUCCGCAGACAAACGCACACUUCAUUUUACAAAUAGCUUCAAUCUCCUCCCUCAGCAAACUUUUAACUACAACUAACAACAUAAUUAGGUUGACUGGUUUGAGGUUUGUUGCCCCCCCCCAUCCCUAACCCCCACCCCUAUUCUGGCUGAGGUACCGCUGAGUGGAAAAAAAAAGUUUAUGAAAAAUAGGUAACAGGAUAAAUA